rnacentral:rRNA from 1 species
CGUUUUUGGGUUUUCGGANUCNGAGACUAAGCGAAAGUGAUAAGUUAGCCACCUGGGGAGUACGUUCGCAAGAAUGAAACUCAAAGGAAUUGACGGGGGCCCGCACAAGCGGUGGAUUAUGUGGUUUAAUUCGAUGAUACGCGAGGAACCUUACCAAGGCUUAAAUGGGAAUUGAUCGGUUUAGAAAUAGACCUUCCUUCGGGCAAUUUUCAAGGUGCUGCAUGGUUGUCGUCAGCUCGUGCCGUGAGGUGUUAGGUUAAGUCCUGCAACGAGCGCAACCCCUGUUACUAGUUGCUACCAUUAAGUUGAGGACUCUAGUAAGACUGCCUACGCAAGUAGAGAGGAAGGUGGGGAUGACGUCAAAUCAUCACGGCCCUUACGCCUUGGGCCACACACGUAAUACAAUGGCAGGUACAGAGGGCAGCUACACAGCGAUGUGAUGCGAAUCUCGAAAGCCUGUCUCAGUUCGGAUUGGAGUCUGCAACUCGACUCUAUGAAGCUGGAAUCGCUAGUAAUCGCGCAUCAGCCAUGGCGCGGUGAAUACGUUCCCGGGCCUUGUACACACCGCCCGUCAAGCCAUGGAAGUCUGGGGUACCUGAAGUCGGUGACCGUAAAAGGAGCUGCCUAGGGUAAAACAGGUAACUAGGGCUAAGUCGUAACAAGGUA